CCAUUUCCUUCUCCAAUCUGAGCAUUUACUAUGCACCAAACAAUAUUGUAAAUACUUUACAGAUGGCAACUCAUUAAGCAUCACAGCAGUCUGAAAUAGUUACUAGGAUUAUUUCCAUUUUGCGUAUCAGGAAACUGAAGCACAAGGAGGUCAUGUCACAUGUCCAAGGUCACAGCUAUCUACUUUGUUUCAGAGUAGAUAAAAUUUGGAAUUUGUUGUAUAAGCGAAAGAAGAUGCCAGCAGAAGCAAACUUAAAGGUACAUGACAGAAUGAGGAUAAGAGACUGAGCGACACCACGGAGAAGACAGGAAGGGUGGCUGGAGACCGGUGAUUGGAGACCAUACAUAGGAACGAGGCCCUCAAUGACCAGCUUGUCUAAGAAAAUCCCCUAACCACUGCCCCGGAGCAGGGAUUCAGCAGUUAAGAUGGUGGCAUGAGCAAACUGCCCGAUUUCAAAUUCCAGCUCCGUCACUUGUGUGACCCCAGGGGUGACACAAAUGUCCUGCUGCAAAUUGAUCAAAGCAUCCUUCCGGUAGGCCUCCCCAGCGGAUAUCAGGGGAGAAAGGACAGAAAUCAAGUCCACAUUUAGGAAGGAGAAAAUACCAGAGGCUACUGACAG